rnacentral:rRNA from 1 species
AUUGAACGCUGGCGGCAGGCUUAACACAUGCAAGUCGAGCGGAGAUGAGGUGCUUGCACCUUAUCUUAGCGGCGGACGGGUGAGUAAUGCUUAGGAAUCUGCCUAUUAGUGGGGGACAACAUUCCGAAAGGAAUGCUAAUACCGCAUACGUCCUUCGGGAGAAAGCAGGGGAUCUUCGGACCUUGCGCUAAUAGAUGAGCCUAAGUCGGAGUAGCUAGUUGGUGGGGUAAAGGCCUACCAAGGGGACGAUCUGUAGCGGGUCUGAGAGGAUGAGCCGCCAGACUGGGGCUGAGACGAGGCCCAGACUCCUACGGGAGGCAGCAGUGGGGAAUAUUGGACAAUGGGGGGAACCCUGAUCCAGCCAUGCCGCGUGUGUGAAGAAGGCCUUAUGGUUGUAAAGCACUUUAAGCGAGGAGGAGGCUACUGAGACUAAUACUCUUGGAUAGUGGACGUUACUCGCAGAAUAAGCACCGGCUAACUCUGUGCCAGCCGCCGCCGCGGUAA